GCUGAAUUAUGUUAACUAUGUUAAAAUGUUGUAGCCAUAACCCAUAAAUAGUCAAUAAAUGGUUUUGAUAGUUCAGAAAAUAUACAAGUAAUUAAGUACUUAAAGAGAAUCGUUUCGUAUGCAAAGACGAAAUCCGGUUCCAAGAACAAUAUUUUGAGCUAUUCCGUAUGGGAACAUAUUGCCUGUAAUAAGUUUCGUCUUCAUAAAGAAGUGGCUUGGCUAUAUUUUGAAAAUUAUUUUUUGGUUCAUCUAAGAAAAGUUGACGAACGUAUCGAAUGGGAUCGACAGUUUUCGGAUGC